AUUGAACGCUGGCGGCAUGCCUUACACAUGCAAGUCGAACGGUAACAGGUCUUCGGAUGCUGACGAGUGGCGAACGGGUGAGUAAUACAUCGGAACGUGCCUAGUAGUGGGGGAUAACUACUCGAAAGAGUGGCUAAUACCGCAUGAGAUCUACGGAUGAAAGCAGGGGAUCGCAAGACCUUGUGCUACUAGAGCGGCCGAUGGCAGAUUAGGUAGUUGGUGGGAUAAAAGCUUACCAAGCCGACGAUCUGUAGCUGGUCUGAGAGGACGAUCAGCCACACUGGGACUGAGACACGGCCCAGACUCCUACGGGAGGAAGCAGUGGGGAAUUUUGGACAAUGGGCGAAAGCCUGAUCCAGCAAUGCCGCGUGCAGGAUGAAGGCCUUCGGGUUGUAAACUGCUUUUGUACGGAACGAAAAGCCCUGGGUUAAUACCCUGGGGUCAUGACGGUACCGUAAGAAUAAGCACCGGCUAACUGCGUGCCAGCCGCCGCAGUAA
rnacentral:rRNA from 1 species